rnacentral:pre_miRNA from 1 species
AAUAUACUCCCUCCAUUCCGAAUUACUUCGCAGGUAUGGAUGUAUCUAGAUAUAUUUUAGUUCUAGAUACAUUUAUUUUUGCGACGAGUAAUUUGAAAUGAAGGAAGUAGAAU